rnacentral:rRNA from 1 species
UACGUAGGGGACAAGCGUUGUCCGGAUUUAUUGGGCGUAAAGAGCGUGUAGGCGGUUAGGUAGGUGGGUUGUGAAAACUGGAGGCUCAACCUUCAGACGUCGACCCAAACCCCCUGGCUAGAGUCCGGAAGAGGAGAGUGGAAUUCCUGGUGUAGCGGUGAAAUGCGCAGAUAUCAGGAAGAACACCAAUGGCGAAAGCAGCUCUCUGGGACGGUACUGACGCUGAGACGCGAAAGCGUGGGGAGCGAACAGG